ACGCACGCUGGCGGCGUGCUUCACCCCUGCCAGUCGCGCGGUAAGGCCUUUCGGGGUACACGAGCGGCGAACGGGUGAGUAACACGUGGGUGAUCUGCCCUGCACUUCGGGAUAAGCCUGGGAAACUGGGUCUAAUACCGGAUAUGACCUCCUAUCGCAUGGUGGGUGGUGGAAAGAUUUAUCGGUGCAGGAUGGGCCCGCGGCCUAUCAGCUUGUUGGUGGGGUAAUGGCCUACCAAGGCGACGACGGGUAGCCGACCUGAGAGGGUGACCGGCCACACUGGGACUGAGACACGGCCCAGACUCCUACGGGAGGCAGCAGUGGGGAAUAUUGCACAAUGGGCGAAAGCCUGAUGCAGCGACGCCGCGUGAGGGAUGACGGCCUUCGGGUUGUAAACCUCUUUCAGCAGGGACGAAGCGCAAGUGACGGUACCUGCAGAAGAAGCACCGGCUAACUACGUG
rnacentral:rRNA from 1 species